UACGAAGGGGGCUAGCGUUGUUCGGAAUUACUGGGCGUAAAGCGCGCGUAGGCGGUUCACCAAGUCGGGCGUGAAAGCCCCGGGCUCAACCCGGGAAUUGCGUUCGAUACUUGUGGACUUGAGGUCGGGAGAGGGUAGUGGAAUUCCCAGUGUAGAGGUGAAAUUCGUAGAUAUUGGGAAGAACACCAGUGGCGAAGGCGGCUACCUGGCCCGAAUCUGACGCUGAGGCGCGAAAGCGUGGGGAGCAAACAGG
rnacentral:rRNA from 1 species